GCCUUGUGCUGGAUUCUGUGGUUUGGGCGCACCAUGAAUGAAUGUGGGCCCCUUCGUAUGGAACACACAGAUUAGUAGCUGGUGUACCCAGUGUGCUUGAAGAAUCUGAAGUUGAUAACAUACACAAUAAACAGUGUUUGAGAAAGAUUAUUCCAGCAGGGUGUGUAGGAGGAAGGAAAAACCUGGGUCAGAAAGGACAGUGUGGCAGUGACUGUGGGAAUUUGGGCCAAAGGUGGAAUCUAUGGUAUUGGAAAGGAAGGCGUGAGGAAAGUAACAAUACACCUUGUAAUAAAAGCAGGAGUGGGAAGAAUUUGGUAAUAGAUGGUGAAGGAGAGAAAACAGUUAAGAAAUUUUUAAGUUAAUUUUUUUUUAGAUUUUUAUUUUUGCCUGCACUGGGUCUUCAUUGCUGAACACAGGCUUUCUCGAGAUGCAGCCAGUGGGGGCUGCUCUCUAGUUGCAGUGCACGGGUUUCUCAUUGCAGUGGCUUCUCUUGCUAUAGAGCACAUGGGCUCUGGGUGCACGGGCUUUAGUAGUUGUGGCUCAAGGGCUCUUAAGUGUGGGGUCAGCAGUUGUGGUACACAGACUUUGUUGCUCCAUUGCAUGUGGGAUCUUUCCAGACCAGGGAUCGAACUGGCAUCCCUUGGAUUGCAAGACAGAUUCGUAACCAGGUCCAUCAGGGAAGGCCCAAGAGUUAAGAAUUAAUCCUCCUUCAUGGUGAGUUUGGGCAGUAGGAAGGUUACUGCAGGCAAGGAGGAGGAGCUGGUGUGAGGGACCUGAGGGUGAGUUCCGUCCCUCCUGGGCCAUGUGAGGGCAGGUAUCCUCUAGGCGAUUGGACUUGGACACAGGGACAUCCUAAAGAGUUGUGGCUGCCUCGUAAAAGAGUGUCCUCGUCACUGUGGGUAUGCAAACAGCUUCAGAACAUUGGCCUGGGAUACUGUGGAAAGAUUUUAUCCAUCAGGUAGAAGGCUGGAGUCGACACAGUGAAAGUGGCUCCUGACUGAGGGAUUUGGUGAGCGUUGGCUGGGUAAGCACAUGUGUGGGAAGGACGCCUGUAUGUGUGGGAAGAUGGUUGGCACCCAUCGUCUCAACUUUGGCUACAAAAGGUGCCCGAGAUGCCUGGGAAGUGGGGGUUGAGGCCCAGGUGAGGCAUGUCAGCAGCCUAGGAUCCUGCCCCACCCACCCCCCGCCCCACCUUGGAAGGCCCUGGAGCCCAGGACUGUGCUGACUGCCAGGGCAUUUCCUGGAACUUGGCAGAGGAUGGAGCCCCUCCCUGCCUGCCCUGGCACACUCCAGGUACACUGUGUCCCGGGAUGUGGGGUGGGGGUGGGGGGUGGAAACCUUGCAGACACCCCAGGAGACUGGGGUGUAGGAAAGGUCCCCACCCCCCAGGAAGAGUCCUGGUUUGGGCAGACAUCUGAGCUCCCGCCCUGCGGCUGUCAUCCUCACAAUGGCCCCACCAGACCCGAGGGGACAGAGGCCCAGAGGAGGAAGGAGAAGCCUUGUGGCUGGGUGGCAGGAUUCGAGACAGACCCACUGAGAAGUGACCAAGGCAAGGUGAAUUGUGGCAGAUGCUGGAAGCGCAUCCCUUCUC
ensembl:lncRNA